GUGCUGAGAAAGGUCUGAGCGAUGGACUCAUCCAGCCUCUUCAUCUGGCGGGGGCCCCAGAACCACGGGGAAACCUCCACGCCGGACCUCAGAAAACCUGGUUCCUAUUCUGGCCUGUCCCAACAUGGCUGGGGAAAGAAGCCCGUCCCCUCUGUGCCUGUUUUCACAACUGGACGCGUCGUGGAGGGGGACUGGGCCCGGAGCAGGUCUGCCUUGGAGACGGGAUCAGGGGUGAGCCCAGGACGAGCUGCUGCGGCCCUUUGCUCCUCUGGCUGCAAGUCUCCUGGAGACCCUCAGAGUUUAG